rnacentral:lncRNA from 1 species
CUCCAUCCCAAACCCAGGAAUGUGGGAACGAGCUCGCCCCCAGGACUGAGCUCUGUCUCCAGGCCUUUUCAGAAUCGCUCGCUCGUUGGCUGGAGAGACUAGAGGUGAAAACCUGGGGAAAUUCGCCCUCCUGGGAGGCUGGAUAGUUGUGGUGCAAAGAUAAAGAUCUUGUCCUGGCUUCCGGGAUCGAAAUGAAGAAUGCUCACCAGGAACUAGGCUAGGGAAUAAUAAAGUGGAGGAAUUCCAUGGAGACUGGAACAACCUCCAGGAAGUGAUGCAGAGCGAGAGGAGCAGAACCAGGAGAACAUUGUACACAGAGACUAAUACACUGUGGAACAAUCGAAGGUAAUGGACUUCUCUACUAGUAGCAGUGCAAUGAUCCAGGACAAUUGCUAUCCACAUCCAAAGAAAGAACUGUGGAAGUAGAAACACAGAAGAAAAACAAUUGCUUGAUCACAUGGGUCGAUGGGGAUAUGAUUGGGGAUGUAGACUCCAAACAAUCACCCUAGUGUAAUUAUUGUCAAUAAUAUGGAAAUAGGUCUUGAUCAGUGGCACAUGUAAAACCCAGUGGAAUUGCAUGUUGGCUAUGGGGGGGGGGGAGACUGAAAGAACAUGAAUUAUGUAACCAUGGAAAAAUAUUCUAAAUUAAUUAAUUAAAUAAAAAAAUAAAACCAAUGUAGCCA